UUGGAGGGCAAGUCUGGUGCCAGCAGCCGCGGUAAUUCCAGCUCCAAUAGCGUAUAUUAAAGUUGUUGCAGUUAAAAAGCUCGUAGUUGAAUUUCGGGAUCAAUUUAUCGGUCGUGCCAAUGGUAUGGACUGGUACAAUUGGUUUCUCCCUUCUGACGAAGCAUGAUGUCAUUAAUUUGGUGUCGUGGGGAAUCAGGACUGUUACUUUGAAAAAAUUAGAGUGUUUAAAGCAAGCAUUAGCUUGAAUACAUUAGCAUGGAAUAAUGAAAUAGGACGUUUGAUCCUAUUUCGUUGGUUUCUAGGAUCGACGUAAUGAUUAAUAGGGAUAGUUGGGGGCAUUAGUAUUCAAUUGUCAGAGGUGAAAUUCUUGGAUUUAUUGAAGACUAACUACUGCGAAAGCAUUUGCCAAGGAUGUUUUCAUUAAUCAAGAACGAAAGUUAGGGGAUCGAAGACGAUCAGAUACCGUCGUAGUCUUAACCAUAAACUAUGCCGACUAGGGAUCGGAUGAUGUUAAUUUUUUAAUGACUCAUUCGGCGCCUUACGGGAAAC
rnacentral:rRNA from 1 species